UACAGAGGGGGCAAGCGUUAUUCGGAAUUAUUGGGCGUAAAGGGCGCGUAGGCGGCCUUCUAAGUCGAACGUGAAAUCCCCGGGCUCAACCCGGGAACUGCGUCCGAGACUGAAAGGCUUGAAUCCGGGAGAGGGAUGUGGAAUUCCAGGUGUAGCGGUGAAAUGCGUAGAUAUCUGGAGGAACAUCGGUGGCGAAGGCGGCAUCCUGGACCGGUAUUGACGCUGAGGCGCGAAAGCCAGGGGAGCAAACGGG
rnacentral:rRNA from 1 species